UGGGGAAUAUUGCACAAUGGGGGAAACCCUGAUGCAGCGACGCCGCGUGAGCGAUGAAGUAUCUCGGUAUGUAAAGCUCUAUCAGCAGGGAAGAAAGUGACAGUACCUGACUAAGAAGCCCCGGCUAACUACGUGCCAGCAGCCGCGGUAAUACGUAGGGGGCAAGCGUUAUCCGGAUUCACUGGGCGUAAAGGGAGCGCAGGCGGCACGGCAAGUCUGGUGUGAAAACCCGGGGCUCAACCCCGGGACUGCAUUGGAAACUGCCGGGCUGGAGUGUCGGAGGGGUAAGCGGAAUUCCUAGUG
rnacentral:rRNA from 1 species